rnacentral:rRNA from 1 species
UACGGGGGGGGCAAGCGUUGUUCGGAAUUACUGGGCGUAAAGGGCUCGUAGGCGGCCAACUAAGUCAGACGUGAAAUCCCUCGGCUUAACCGGGGAACUGCGUCUGAUACUGGAUGGCUAGAGGUUGGGAGAGGGAUGCGGAAUUCCAGGUGUAGCGGUGAAAUGCGCAGAUAUCGGGAAGAACACCUGUGGCGAAGGGCGGCUCUCUGGGACGGUACUGACGCUGAGACGCGAAAGCGUGGGGAGCGAACAGG